UCAGGACGAACGCUGGCGGCGUGCCUAAUACAUGCAAGUCGAGCGGACAGAUGGGAGCUUGCUCCCUGAUGUUAGCGGCGGACGGGUGAGUAACACGUGGGUAACCUGCCUGUAAGACUGGGAUAACUCCGGGAAACCGGGGCUAAUACCGGAUGGUUGUUUGAACCGCAUGGUUCAGACAUAAAAGGUGGCUUCGGCUACCACUUACAGAUGGACCCGCGGCGCAUUAGCUAGUUGGUGAGGUAACGGCUCACCAAGGCAACGAUGCGUAGCCGACCUGAGAGGGUGAUCGGCCACACUGGGACUGAGACACGGCCCAGACUCCUACGGGAGGCAGCAGUAGGGAAUCUUCCGCAAUGGACGAAAGUCUGACGGAGCAACGCCGCGUGAGUGAUGAAGGUUUUCGGAUCGUAAAGCUCUGUUGUUAGGGAAGAACAAGUGCCGUUCAAAUAGGGCGGCACCUUGACGGUACCUAACCAGAAAGCCACGGCUAACUACGUGCCAGCAGCCGCGGUAAUACGUAGGUGGCAAGCGUUGUCCGGAAUUAUUGGGCGUAAAGGGCUCGCAGGCGGUUUCUUAAGUCUGAUGUGAAAGCCCCCGGCUCAACCGGGGAGGGUCAUUGGAAACUGGGGAACUUGAGUGCAGAAGAGGAGAGUGGAAUUCCACGUGUAGCGGUGAAAUGCGUAGAGAUGUGGAGGAACACCAGUGGCGAAGGCGACUCUCUGGUCUGUAACUGACGCUGAGGAGCGAAAGCGUGGGGAGCGAACAGGAUUAGAUACCCUGGUAGUCCACGCCGUAAACGAUGAGUGCUAAGUGUUAGGGGGUUUCCGCCCCUUAGUGCUGCAGCUAACGCAUUAAGCACUCCGCCUGGGGAGUACGGUCGCAAGACUGAAACUCAAAGGAAUUGACGGGGGCCCGCACAAGCGGUGGAGCAUGUGGUUUAAUUYGAAGCAACGCGAAGAACCUUACCAGGUCUUGACAUCCUYUGACAAUCCUAGAGAUAGGACGUCCCCUUCGGGGGCAGAGUGACAGGUGGUGCAUGGUUGUCGUCAGCUCGUGUCGUGAGAUGUUGGGUUAAGUCCCGCAACGAGCGCAACCCUUGAUUUUAGUUGCCAGCAUUCAGUUGGGCACUUUAAGGUGACUGCCGGUGACAAACCGGAGGAAGGUGGGGAUGACGUCAAAUCAUCAUGCCCCUUAUGACCUGGGCUACACACGUGCUACAAUGGGCAGAACAAAGGGCAGCGAAACCGCGAGGUUAAGCCAAUCCCACAAAUCUGUUCUCAGUUCGGAUCGCAGUUUGCAACUCGACUGCGUGAAGCUGGAAUCGCUAGUAAUCGCGGAUCAGCAUGCCGCGGUGAAUACGUUCCCGGGCCUUGUACACACCGCCCGUCACACCACGAGAGUUUGUAACACCCGAAGUCGGUGAGGUAACCUUUUUGGAGCCAGCCGCCGAAGGUGGGACAGAUGAUUGGGGUGAAGUCGUA
rnacentral:rRNA from 1 species